UGGGGAAUCUUGGACAAUGGGCGCAAGCCUGAUCCAGCCAUGCCGCGUGAGUGACGAAGGUCUUCGGAUUGUAAAGCUCUUUUGGCGGGGACGAUAAUGACGGUACCCGCAGAAUAAGCCCCGGCUAACUUCGUGCCAGCAGCCGCGGUAAUACGAAGGGGGCUAGCGUUGUUCGGAAUUACUGGGCGUAAAGCGCACGUAGGCGGACUGAUAAGUCAGGGGUGAAAUCCCGGGGCUCAACCUCGGAACUGCCUUUGAUACUGUUAGUCUCGAGUCCGGAAGAGGUGAGUGGAAUUCCUAGUGUAGAGGUGAAAUUCGUAGAUAUUAGGAAGAACACCAGUGGCGAAGGCGGCUCACUGGUCCGGUACUGACGCUGAGGUGCGAAAGCGUGGGGAGCAAACAGGAUUAGAUACCCACGUAGUCCCUGAGCGGGCUGGCAAGGCGCAU
rnacentral:rRNA from 1 species